UACAGAGGGUGCGAACGUUGUUCGGAAUUACUGGGCAUAAAGCGCACGUAGGCGGUUCUGUAAGUGCGGAGUGAAAUCCCACGGCUCACCCGUGGAACAGCUCCGCAUACUGCAGGACUCGAGGACGGUAGGGGAGAGCGGAACUCCUGGUGGAGCGGUGAAAUGCGUAGAUAUCAGGAGGAACACCGGCGGCGAAGGCGGCUCUCUGGUCCGUUACUGACGCUGAGGUGCGAAAGCCAGGGGAGCAAACGGG
rnacentral:rRNA from 1 species